UGUCUUGUAAUUGGAAUGAUGGGAAUUUAAACCUCUUCCAGAGUAUCAAUUGGAGGGCAAGUCUGGUGCCAGCAGCCGCGGUAAUUCCAGCUCCAAUAGCGUAUAUUAAAAUUGUUGCAGUUAAAAAGCUCGUAGUUGAAUUUCUGCUACAUUGCCUAUUCUCCUUUACGAGUUUGGGUCUUUUGUGGCUUAUCUGGGUUCGCUUGCGUUCCCGGUGUUUUACUUUGAGAAAAUUAGAGUGCUCAAAGCAGGCUUUUGCCUUGAAUAGUUUAGCAUGGAAUAAUAAAGUAGGACUUUGGUUCUAUUUUGUUGGUUUUAGGUACCAAAGUAAUGGUUAAUAGGAACAGUUGGGGGCAUUCGUAUUUAACUGUCAGAGGUGAAAUUCUUAGAUUUGUUAAAGACGAACUACUGCGAAAGCAUUUGCCAAGGAUGUUUUCAUUAAUCAAGAACGAAAGUUAGGGGAUCGAAGACGAUCAGAUACCGUCGUAGUCCUAACCAUAAACUAUGCCGACUAGAGAUUGGAGGUCGUCAGU
rnacentral:rRNA from 1 species